rnacentral:rRNA from 1 species
UACGUAGGGGGCUAGCGUUGUCCGGAAUCAUUGGGCGUAAAGAGCGUGUAGGCGGUCCGGUAAGUCCGCUGUGAAAGUCGGGGGCUCAACCCUCGAAUGCCGGUGGAUACUGUCAGGCUAGAGUGCGGAAGAGGCGAGUGGAAUUCCUGGUGUAGCGGUGAAAUGCGCAGAUAUCAGGAGGAACACCUAUUGCGAAGGCAGCUCGCUGGGACGUAACUGACGCUGAGACGCGAAAGCGUGGGGAGCAAACAGG